UUGAGUUUCAUCUAAUGAUGUUCCUUAGAAUGCAGUAGGAAAACAACACAGUAUCUAUUCUUCUCUUUUAUCCAUACGAGUAGAACUUACUUCUUCCCUCAAGAAGUCACCAUCUGCAUUUCAGGUUAAUGCAGCCAGCGCAAACAGCCCAAGGGAGACAGACCAAAAAUGCAGAUAUAAAAUGUUGAGGCCUUGUAAACCUAUCCAAGAAAGAUGAACAGAAUGGUUGUAUCACUCUGAUGGUAGGCGCCUCCUCUUGCCAUAAUCUGCAUCCCUUGAUCGAGACCUGUAAUCUUCUUCAGGCACUGCACGGGACCUGCUUCUAGAUCUUGAAGAAGAUUGCCCUCUAUCCCAGUCAUCCUCAUAACCAGAGUCACGCUCUCUUUGUCGAUGUUCUCGGUAACUUUCUUUCUCUUCCCGGUACCUGUGCUCCCUGUGCUCUCUUUCAGACCUGUCCCAAUCAUGUUCCCUCUCAUCACGAUGCCUCCUAUCAGAGGUCCCUGACCAGUCACGCUCAGAAACCCGCUCCUUUUCCCGAGAGACAGCGCUUGACCAUGCUCCCUUUUCAUGAUUGACCUCUCCAUAGCCAUAUUCAGAAGCCCCAUCAUCACCACCAUAACUUGACUCCCUUGUUCUUCUGCCAGGCUCUUCUCCCCAUCCACCCAUGCUUGUGUCAGACCACAUUCCAGCAUUAGGCCCAUCCAUUCCAGUGGGACCCAUCAUUCCCAUACCAUUAGGUGUCAUUCCCCGGCCAAAGAAGGCUGGGUUGACAUGAGGAGCCACCCCAGCAAGUCCCAUUGUAUUAACAGCUGGAAACGAAGGAAGCAUGCCAGGAAAACCAGGACCUGCAAAUCCUCCAUAUCCAGCCCCACGACCCAUAUAUGUUGGAUCAAAUCCAGCUCCCAUCAUACCCUGUGGAGGCAUCAUACCACCAGCAGGUCCACCAAAAGCAGGACCUGCAAGGCCUUGUCCAUAGCCUCCACCAUUGGCACCACUUCCUAAUCCACCAGCACCUCCAACCAUGUUCUUGGCACCCAUGGCUCCUCCUCUGCCCCUCAUUGGGCCUCCACCUCCAGGACCUCUAUUGAGAAUUCCCUGCCCACCUCGUCCCCACCCACCCCUUCCAUAGUUCCUCCCCGCAUCUCCACCUUGAUAAUUCAUAUUACCACCUCUUCCCACACCAUCAUUCAUAGGCCUCCUUCCUUGAUUCUGCGACUGAGGCUGACUCUGAGUUUUGUUCAUGUAAGAAGCCCCCAUCUGCUUUAAUGUUUGUGGAGAAGCAAAGGCC
rnacentral:misc_RNA from 1 species